UCGACGGCAGCACGGAGCUUGCUCUGGUGGCGAGUGGCGAACGGGUGAGUAAUAUAUCGGAACGUACCCUAGAGUGGGGGAUAACGUAGCGAAAGUUACGCUAAUACCGCAUACGAUCUAAGGAUGAAAGUGGGGGAUCGCAAGACCUCAUGCUCGUGGAGCGGCCGAUAUCUGAUUAGCUAGUUGGUAGGGUAAAAGCCUACCAAGGCAUCGAUCAGUAGCUGGUCUGAGAGGACGACCAGCCACACUGGAACUGAGACACGGUCCAGACUCCUACGGGAGGCAGCAGUGGGGAAUUUUGGACAAUGGGCGAAAGCCUGAUCCAGCAAUGCCGCGUGAGUGAAGAAGGCCUUCGGGUUGUAAAGCUCUUUUGUCAGGGAAGAAACGGUGAGAGCUAAUAUCUUUUGCUAAUGACGGUACCUGAAGAAUAAGCACCGGCUAACUACGUGCCAGCAGCCGCGGUAAUACGUAGGGUGCAAGCGUUAAUCGGAAUUACUGGGCGUAAAGCGUGCGCAGGCGGUUUUGUAAGUCUGAUGUGAAAUCCCCGGGCUCAACCUGGGAAUUGCAUUGGAGACUGCAAGGCUAGAAUCUGGCAGAGGGGGGUAGAAUUCCACGUGUAGCAGUGAAAUGCGUAGAUAUGUGGAGGAACACCGAUGGCGAAGGCAGCCCCCUGGGUCAAGAUUGACGCUCAUGCACGAAAGCGUGGGGAGCAAACAGGAUUAGAUACCCUGGUAGUCCACGCCCUAAACGAUGUCUACUAGUUGUCGGGUCUUAAUUGACUUGGUAACGCAGCUAACGCGUGAAGUAGACCGCCUGGGGAGUACGGUCGCAAGAUUAAAACUCAAAGGAAUUGACGGGGACCCGCACAAGCGGUGGAUGAUGUGGAUUAAUUCGAUGCAACGCGAAAAACCUUACCUACCCUUGACAUGGCUGGAAUCCUUGAGAGAUCAGGGAGUGCUCGAAAGAGAACCAGUACACAGGUGCUGCAUGGCUGUCGUCAGCUCGUGUCGUGAGAUGUUGGGUUAAGUCCCGCAACGAGCGCAACCCUUGUCAUUAGUUGCUACGAAAGGGCACUCUAAUGAGACUGCCGGUGACAAACCGGAGGAAGGUGGGGAUGACGUCAAGUCCUCAUGGCCCUUAUGGGUAGGGCUUCACACGUCAUACAAUGGUACAUACAGAGCGCCGCCAACCCGCGAGGGGGAGCUAAUCGCAGAAAGUGUAUCGUAGUCCGGAUUGUAGUCUGCAACUCGACUGCAUGAAGUUGGAAUCGCUAGUAAUCGCGGAUCAGCAUGUCGCGGUGAAUACGUUCCCGGG
rnacentral:rRNA from 1 species